UACGGGGGGGGCAAGCGUUGUUCGGAAUUACUGGGCGUAAAGGGCUCGUAGGCGGCCAACUAAGUCAGACGUGAAAUCCCUCGGCUUAACCGGGGAACUGCGUCUGAUACUGGAUGGCUUGAGAUUGGGAGAGGGAUGCGGAAUUCCAGGUGGAGUGGUGAAAUGCGUAGAGAUCUGGAAGAACACCAAAGGCGAAGGCAGCAUCCUGGGAAGUUCCUGACGCUCGGGUGCGAAAGCCAGGGGAGCGAACGGG
rnacentral:rRNA from 1 species